rnacentral:rRNA from 2 species
AUUGAACGCUGGCGGCAGGCCUAACACAUGCAAGUCGGACGGUAGCACAGAGAGCUUGCUCUCGGGCGACGAGUGGCGGACGGGUGAGUAAUGUCUGGGGAUCUGCCCGAUAGAGGGGGAUAACCACUGGAAACGGUGGCUAAUACCGCAUAACGUCGCAAGACCAAAGAGGGGGACCUUCGGGCCUCUCACUAUCGGAUGAACCCAGAUGGGAUUAGCUAGUAGGCGGGGUAAUGGCCCACCUAGGCGACGAUCCCUAGCUGGUCUGAGAGGAUGACCAGCCACACUGGAACUGAGACACGGUCCAGACUCCUACGGGAGGCAGCAGUGGGGAAUAUUGCACAAUGGGCGCAAGCCUGAUGCAGCCAUGCCGCGUGUAUGAAGAAGGCCUUCGGGUUGUAAAGUACUUUCAGCGGGGAGGAAGGCGGUGCGGUUAAUAACCGUGCCGAUUGACGUUACCCGCAGAAGAAGCACCGGCUAACUCCGUGCCAGCAGCCGCGGUAAUACGGAGGGUGCAAGCGUUAAUCGGAAUUACUGGGCGUAAAGCGCACGCAGGCGGUCUGUUAAGUCAGAUGUGAAAUCCCCGGGCUUAACCUGGGAACUGCAUUUGAAACUGGCAGGCUUGAGUCUCGUAGAGGGGGGUAGAAUUCAGGUGUAGCGGUGAAAUGCGUAGAGAUCUGGAGGAAUACCGGUGGCGAAGGCGGCCCCCUGGACGAAGACUGACGCUCAGGUGCGAAAGCGUGGGGAGCAAACAGGAUUAGAUACCCUGGUAGUACACGCCGUAAACGAUGUCGACUUGGAGGUUGUUCCCUUGAGGAGUGGCUUCCGGAGCUAACGCGUUAAGUCGACCGCCUGGGGAGUACGGCCGCAAGGUUAAAACUCAAAUGAAUUGACGGGGGCCCGCACAAGCGGUGGAGCAUGUGGUUUAAUUCGACGCAACGCGAAGAACCUUACCUACUCUUGACAUCCAGCGAACUUUCCAGAGAUGGAUUGGUGCCUUCGGGAACGCUGAGACAGGUGCUGCAUGGCUGUCGUCAGCUCGUGUUGUGAAAUGUUGGGUUAAGUCCCGCAACGAGCGCAACCCUUAUCCUUUGUUGCCAGCGAUUCGGUCGGGAACUCAAAGGAGACUGCCGGUGAUAAACCGGAGGAAGGUGGGGAUGACGUCAAGUCAUCAUGGCCCUUACGAGUAGGGCUACACACGUGCUACAAUGGCGCAUACAAAGAGAAGCGACCUCGCGAGAGCAAGCGGACCUCACAAAGUGCGUCGUAGUCCGGAUCGGAGUCUGCAACUCGACUCCGUGAAGUCGGAAUCGCUAGUAAUCGUGGAUCAGAAUGCCACGGUGAAUACGUUCCCGGGCCUUGUACACACCGCCCGUCACACCAUGGGAGUGGGUUGCAAAAGAAGUAGGUAGCUUAACCUUCGGGAGGGCGCUUACCACUUUGUGAUUCAUGACUGGGGUG